CUAUACAAUAUCUCUGUUAAAAUGCUGAGAAGAUUUAUCCUAAAAGAAGGCACCAAAGCAAUGGGGUUCAUCAACUCAGGAUCCAGUAGUGUAAUACAGAAGCCUGUUACGAGAUAUAAGCAAUUGUAAUGAACAGCAUAACUAUUUGUGUGACUACACUUGGUAUAAUUCUAUUAAGCAUGGAGAUUGCAACUUUUGCAUUAAAUGCAACCACAUACAAUUGGUCAAACUAUUCAGAUGGUUGGUAUGAUGCUUUUACAAUAUUUACUACUCUGCACCAUCUUAGAGAUGACCAUUGUAAUCAUAAUCAUCCAGUGGGUUGUAAGAGCAUUUCAUCAUGAAAAACACACUGAAGAAAAGGCACUUUGCCCUCGGAAAUCUCACUGUCGGAAUCCUUGGAAAUCACACCACGCACAACUUCUAUUUCUUCAUAAUUUGCAAAGAACCAGUGUGACUCCAGUCAAGAACAAAAGAUUAAUUGUGAAUUAGCGAAGAACUCUAAUUUUUUCAAGCAGCCACAUGGAAAACGCAUUCUAAUGAAAUCCUUUCCAUUGCUCUUUUUUCUUAGUUCUUCAAUAAAGCAUGCGAUUUGAUCACAAA
rnacentral:lncRNA from 1 species